AAAAGAGCAACAAAAGUUACUAAACAAGACAAAUUUACAAAAUUUAUUGCUUAUUUGGACAUGUUAUUAUACAACAUAUAUUUACAAAAUUAAUACAUGAACUUGUCAUUCAUGAUACUUAUUUUCUAAAUUUUACUAAUUAGAGAUAUUAAAUUGAUUUUUUUUAUAACAUUGAGGUUUAAACCCUUUAGUAGUCUCUAAAGGGUUUAAACCUUAAUGUUAUAAAAUUUUCUAAUUGAGUCCUUAUAACUACUAAUUUUAACCAAUUGAGCCCCUGUCGUCAAAUUUCGUUAACGGAGUUAACUUUCUGCACAGGUGGUCGGCUGACGUGUUAAAUGGUUUCAACGUGUCACUGUUGGAAGUGAAACGUGUCACUCUCUUCCUCCCACGCCAUUUUCCUUUUCCUUCUUCCUCCUUCCAUUCUUCUCUCUUCCAACCACUCCCAACCUUCUUAAAGAAAAAUCCAGAUCUGCAUAAUUGACUGACUCAUUCAGCAAAGAUGAAAGCAAGCCAAUGACAAAAUUAAAUCUUCUCCAAGGACGUGACAACUGCCACCACCAACUCCCACCUAAGCAAUGUCCUACUUCUUUCUUCCAUCAACGUUUUUCAUUCCAGCCUUGAUACUCCACCAUCAGCGCUGCAUCACCAACGAGAUCCACCCACCAUUUU
rnacentral:lncRNA from 1 species